CUGGCAGCCACCCAUGAUGUAAUCCAGGAAGGUGUGCACCUUCUCCACCUGGAGAGCCUCCCAGAGCAAGACCCCCAUGGUUCCGUCCUUCAGCUGAGCCCAGCAAGGUGCAGAGAGGAGCCUUGUCUACAGAGGCUGCCACUGUGCCAAUGGUGACCAGAGGCUGCACCUGCCCUGGAGAAUUCGCCAGAGCCAUCCACAAAGCAUCGCUCCUGUUUGCCAACACUGGAGAAGCCGCUUUUGUUCUGUAGAAGCUUUCUUUGGAUUGGGUUGUUUGUCUCUUUUGGAUAUAGCUUUGUAAAUAUCCUUAAACAUUUUCACUGUGUUGACUUCUCACUGCCCCACCUUGGCCAUAAAUUCCCCAGCACAGGGGCCAUGGGCUUCUGUUUCUUUGGACACACCCUGGGCUUUCAGUACUGCUGCCUGAAAAGAGGCUUUCCAUACCUAUGUGCCAUGUGGCCUCUGCUCUGCGCAUGGCGCUGAAGCUUGGUUUGGUGCUUUGGGGCGGUGGUGGGGGCUUCCAGGAUCCAGGCCCUGGAGUAGAGAGAGGGGAUGAGAAAGAGAGGAGAAAGGGAAAAGGUAAAUUUGACCCCUGAGAGAGGGGUCCAAAAGGGCUUUGAAUGUGACUGUUCUUACCUGCGUCGUCUGAAGAGCGCCGUUUCUGCCAGGCCUGGGUGCUGCCCUCCUGGUCUGGGCCUGGGCCCUGAAAGAACAGUGGGUCAGGUUGUAAGAAAGUCUCCUCUGUGGCAGGACUGCAGCUGACAAAGGGCUUCUGCUCUAGCAUCUCCAUGUCAUUCUCAUGUCAUUAGUCCCUAGACACUUAAAACUGUUUCCCAAAGAGUGGCACCCAUACCUCCCCAGGGGCACAAGAAAUGGCUUACACAAAUGAGUAUACUUCCAUCUUUAUAGUUACAUAUGUAUUUUACAUGUAGUAGAAAAAAAC
rnacentral:lncRNA from 1 species